rnacentral:rRNA from 1 species
UACGGAGGGUGCGAGCGUUGUCCGGAAUCACUGGGCGUAAAGGGCGCGUAGGUGGUUGGAUGCGCCGGUGGUGAAAGCGCAGGGCUCAACCCUGCGUCGGCCAUCGGGACGGUCCGACUGGAGCACUGUAGAGGCAGGUGGAAUUCCGGGAGUAGCGGUGGAAUGCGUAGAGAUCCGGAAGAACACCGGUGGCGAAGGCGGCCUGCUGGGCAGUGGCUGACACUGAGGCGCGACAGCGUGGGGAGCAAACAGG